rfam:Babjeviella inositovora NRRL Y-12698 unplaced genomic scaffold BABINscaffold_3, whole genome shotgun sequence.
GACACUAUGGCCGAGUUGGUUAAGGCGAAGGUCGCAGAAUUUGCGCUUUCGGGCGCAGACGCAAUCCUUUGGGUUUACCCGCGCGGGUUCGAAUCCCGUUGGUGUCU